AUUGAACGCUGGCGGCGUGCCUAACACAUGCAAGUCGAGCGGUAACAGGUGUAGCAAUACAUGCUGACGAGCGGCGAACGGGUGAGUAAUGCUUCGGAAUCUGCCCAUGUAGUGGGGAAUAACCAGCCGAAAGGUUGGCUAAUACCGCAUACGACCUACGGGUGAAAGCAGGGGAUCGCAAGACCUUGCGCUAUUGGAUGAGCCGAAGUCGGAUAGCUUGUUGGUGAGGUAACGGCUCACCAAGGCGACGAUCCGUAGCUGGUCUGAGAGGACGACCAGCCACACUGGGACUGAGACACGGCCCAGACUCCUACGGGAGGCAGCAGUGGGAAUAUUGGACAAUGGGGCAACCCUGAUCCAGCGACGCCGCGUGUGUGAAGAAGGCCUGCGGGUUGUAAAG
rnacentral:rRNA from 1 species